UAGAAUAUUGCCUCUUUAUAUUUAAAUGGAUUUGGUAUUCUGUCUUCUUUCUAAUAAAAGGGAGGACCUGGAGGGUAAGUAGUGGUUCUGUGCUGGGAUAUGUUAUAAGCGAGUUAUUUAAUUUGGAAAUCUCAUUUUCAGUUGCCCAUUGGACGUCAAUGUGUAAAUCAUUACCGACGCCUAAGGCGCCACUGUGUCUUUUCACACGAGGAACUCAUUUUCAAGAUGGCAGCAGAUCCAGAAUGCUUAGAUGUGGGGCUGGCUGCCAUGGUCUGCAAAGAAUUGACUCUCAUGACUGAAGAAGAAACACGAUUAAGAGAGUCUGUUGUACAGAUGGGUGUCCUGAUGUCAGAAGAAGAAGUGUUUGAACUUGUUCCUGAUGAUGAGCGGCAGUGUUCAGCAUGCAGAACCACAUGUUUUCUCUCUGCUCUCACAUGUUCCUGUAAUCCUGAGCGGCUUGUAUGUCUCUACCAUCCAACUGAUCUGUGCCCCUGCCCCAUGCAGAAGAAAUGUCUUAGGUAUC
rnacentral:sRNA from 1 species